rnacentral:rRNA from 1 species
GACGAACGCUGGCGGCGUGCCUAAUACAUGCAAGUCGAACGCAGUUGCGAACGUAUGGGUAACGCGUACGUAACUACCUAUUAGAGGGGGAUAACUAUCGGAAACUAUAGCUAAUACCGCUUACUUGUCGGUGGACCUGCGUUGUAUUGGCUAGUAGGGAGGGUAAAGGCCUACCUAGGCAACGAUAAAUAGCCGGCCUGAGAGGGUGAUCGGCCACACUGGGACUGAGACACGGCCCAGACUCCUACGGGAGGCAGCAGUAGGGAAUCUUCGGCAAUGGGGGGAACCCUGACCGAGCAACGCCGCGUGAGUGAAGAAGGUUUUCGGAUCGUAAAGCUCUGUUGUUAAGGAAGCGGUACUUAACCAGAAAGGGACGGCUAACUACGUGCCAGCAGCCGCGGUAAUAC